GGAAGCCUUUCUUCCGAACUGCACUAAGAGCAGGGGAUUUGGACUUUUGCAGAAGAAAGGACUACCGCUCCCGUCCUUCCCCUUCCUCAAAAGAAACCAGUCGGAAACCAAAGCAGGAACCAUGUUUUUAUUUCAAAACCUUUUUGAGUCCUGAGAUCCACCCCGGUCCUCUGUCACCUUACCAAGUCUGUUGAAAAUUGAUACUGUUACCAGGCACGGCAGUGCAGUCUUGUAACCACAGCUACCAGGCAAGUUCAAAGCCAGCCAAAACAACUUAAGACUAUCUCAACGGGGGGGGGGGGGGGGGGGGGGCAGGGAUGUAUCGAAGUGGCAGGACACACGCAAAGCACAAAGAGAGAACCACUACACUAGUCCAUGUGUGGUGGCACACACCUUCAGUCUGAGCACUGACAGGCUGAGUUUGAGGCCAAUCUGGUCUAUCUAGUGAGUUCCAGGCUAAGCAGGGCUAUGUAGAGACGACCCUAUAUAAUAAUAAUAAUAAUAAUAAUAAUAAUAAUAAUAAUAAUAAUACCAAUAACCCUAUCUAAAGAAUAUUAAUUAAAAGUGUAAAGAGAGAAAGAAAACUGGCAACUAGGGCUGCUGUAAGUUCCAGGCCAACCUGAGUAAAAGGAAAAAGAAAAAAGGACUUCCAUAAUAAAGGGCUUGCCUGUCUUGCCUGAGGCCCUGGAGUCAACCCAGCAGCACCACAUAAACUGGAGCAAUCGAACUCCAGUGGGCGGUAGACAGGAGGUACAGGUAGGAGGAUCAGAGUUCAAGGGCAUUCUUGGCUGCGAUACCGAAAUUCUGUCUCAAAAAACAGGAUGAAGAGAAAGUUGCUGGCUAGAAAUGGCACUCCGUGGCACGGGCAGAACGCUGUGUUCAACCUCCAACACCAAGAAGAUGGAAACCCCACAAAUCUCAAGGUUCCUCUCACCAUCACUCUUGGGGUUCCCCAGGACCUUGAGCACCUCGGCGUUGGUAGGGUUCUGGCCCAGGGCCCGCAUCAGGUCCCCACACUGGCUGUACAGGAUCUUGCCAUCACCCACUCGGUCAAACAGCUCAAAGGCCUCUCUGAACUCUGAGAUGUAGGGAGAAGGCAAUGUGACCAGGGAUUCCCAUCACCUCCAGCCGGAAGGGAGGUUUGCUUUAGAAAUUAUGUGCUCGAGCUGGGCACAGGAGGGAGGAGAACAGGACAAGUGUGGGAGGUUUCAAGGUCAGGACUGUCGUUAGGGAACAGAGAAUCGGACCAGGAGUUUGGUGUUGGACAAUGGGGCUUAGGAAACAGGCUUCUCCUCACCCUCCAGCUGGUCCUUGUUAAACUCGAUCUGUAGGGGACAAAAAGGGCAGGUGAGGAGAUGACAGGGCUUAUUCAGUCCCUCUCUAGCACAACCAACUGGCAGCCACUUCUGGGGAGGGGCCCAAAGGGAUGAGGCUGGGAGCCCGGCCACUUUAGUCCCAUUCCCAGCCCUGGGCUUUGGGAGCACCCCAAGAGGAAUUAUAGGGGGAGGGUUUCUUGGGAGCAGGGUUAAUCCCAUACCACCUGUUCCCUUCCCUCCCGCUACCCCAGUCCUGCAUCCCUCACAUAACUGGGGGCUGAACAAAGGCUAAAUUUACCCCUGCCCCCAGCUGUGAUUGUCUAACAAGUCUGUCCUCUUCAGUCUCCCCUCCUGGGGUUCAACAGCUGAGCCAGGAGCAGACAGCACCUCUCUCCCCUGGAAACUGGCCUGGCCUGGGAGCCCCAACCUCAUUCUAGCGGUUCAUUCAUUCCCUACCCUUCCCACAUCUUCCCGGUCCCCAAUCCCCAAGGCUGCACUGCACCUUUGAACUACCCCUUCCAGAUUCACACACUUCCCAGGACUCACCACCACUUUGGAGAGAUCAACAGGGGGCUCUUGGGUUUUCACAGGGGUCUGGGGGGCAGCUGGCUCGGCCUUGGUCUUGGCUAGAGGGGUCCCUGCUGUAGACUUGGCAGCAGGCUUAGAGAUGGAGGGUCCUGCUGGCUUCUUCACAGGAGCAUCCUUCUUGGGAGGCAUGAUGUCAGGUGGCAGAAGAGCAGUGUGCCGACAGGGGCACCAUCUCUGUUUAAAUAGGCAGGGAGUCUGGGGUGUCAAGGGGCGGGGGCAGCGGCGGGGACAGGGAGCCAGUUGGCAAGGGUGAGGGAGAAGAAACUUCUGCCUGUCUGCCCUCACUCCCCUGGCCGCCUGUGGUAAAGAGCUCUUGCCCCCAAAGUAUUCUUCCUCCUGACACCACUCCCCUAAGGCUGAACAGAAUGUUUUCUUUAAGGGUACAGGGAAGAAACAAGGGACUUCUCAGAACAGGGACUGGUAACCUCCAGGGUGACGAUAGGACGUUUGCCAGUGAUUCUGAGAUAGGAGCUAAGGGAAGAGAGAAAAAACUAAACUAAAAAGCAAACAAAAGCUUUCAUUACUUUUAGACUGUGGAAAAGCCCAAGCAGAGCAAGGACUUAGGGGUGGCAUGGGGGUAUGGGGGUGUGAAGGGUAUGGGGGUAUGGGGGCGGGACAGAGUAACAACCUAGUGUCAAGUGGGAAGUUUUAAAAUAUGUUCUGGAAACAUUAAAGGUGAGAGAAGGGGGUCUUUUCACUCCUUUCUGCUCAUUCCUGUAUCUUUAGAACUCGAAGUCCCUGGGCCCCCACCUACCCCCACCCCCGCACUGUAACCAUAGCAUGGCAUUACCCACUGAAUCCUACACCUAAUGCUGAUUUAGGGGUUCCAGUGUAGGCAAGGUUUAGCAUCUGUCACAUAUAAUUCCAAAGAAGGAACAUUUUCCAACAAGACAAUGUUAUUCAAAUCAGACAAGAGGCUAGGAUGAGGAGACACAGACAGACAGACAGGCAGGCAGGCAGGCAGGCGCUCGUGUGCGCACACACACACACACACACACACACACUCACACUCACACAGAGGGAGAGGACCCUGGGAGACAAUGAGCCCUCUAAUACCCCAAAAAGGUUACAGAAUCUCCUAAGAAGUUGGUAGGUAUCCACACUGGCACCCAACCAGUCAGGAUCACAACAAAAACCUUGGCUCAGCUUUGAGUCACAAACCUUGCUGGAAGCGCUGGCAAAGGGAAGAGAUGAUGUUUGGGAGCUGGAAGGGAGUUCUGGCUACUCUCUUCUUGGAUAAAGAAGAUUUAGGUAGCAUUCUGAGAGACUGGUCAUUCCACUUAGGCCCUGGAGUUCACAGAGUGGCAGUGUGUCUUCCAUUUGUAAAGGCGUCAGAAUCUUUUUACUGCAAAUUGUCCCAUUUUUGGAAAAUAAGGAAUCCUUCCGCAAACAACACACCAGUUUCCCUCACUUACACUCACUCCUAAGCCUUAGAGAGGAAAAAGGCCCUCCCAGCCCCUCAAAACUCACCUUGCCGGUUCCAAGGAAGGGGCAGGUGGGGGGGCGGGACUCAGGGCAGCUCCGGUCCCUGAAGGGUUAACAGCGGCGGGCGCAGAGCAUGCUGGGAGUCGUAGUCCACGCACGCCCACGUGCUCGCAGGAAACCUUCCCCCGGUGGUGAGAGUUGGCGGUCACUUCCGGCCCGUGGUGGCAAUUGUUGACUCAGACACUGAGGCGUGCGCCAGUUCCGGAAUUGAAAGGGCUUGAGACGUCCCCACCCUUGACCCUAGGGAUGCAGACUCAGGGACGCCCGCAAGGCCAGGGGCGGGGCCGGGCGGUAGGCAGGCGGAGGCUGGGGCUGCUUUCGCUUCCUCAGGCCGUUAGCUGCGGCGUCACGUAACUUGAAGAGUUUCGCAUUUUUAUUUUAUUUUUUUACACAUUUGAUCUUAGCCGAAAAGCCUAGAGGCUGGCGACUGAGGUAGAUGUUAAGAUUUACAGUUUAGCCUGGUCAUCUGCUCCAGACUUUCCUCCGUGUGCAGGCGUCGGCUGACGCCGCCUAUGCAGCGCGUUCGUCCCCGGGAGAUCCCCAACAAAUGCAGCGCUGGGCUCUGCAGCCUUUCCUUCCUUUUCCGACACCAUUGCCCAGCCUGAGUGUUUGCUUUCUCCCUAGCGUUUACCGAAGGUUUGGGUGCAGAGAGGGAACCGACCCACCGUCCCGAACCACAUAAAUAAAUAACUCUGGCAGCGCGCCUCAUCCUAGAGCUUGUGCAAGAAAGUGGACCAGAAAUAGCUCAGGGUAGAAGACUCCCAGCGGCACCGUAGGAAGAAUGAGAUAUAAACCAAUUUUGUAGCCAGAAGCUAGAGAAAACUCCGAAGAGUAAAAAGGUCUGUACGGGUGCAAGGGAUGUAGCGCAGUUGGUAAAGUGCUUGCUCCCCAUGUAUAGAGCUCUGGGUCCCAGCACUCAGGAGGUGCAGACAGGUCAGUGGGCACGUAGGGAGUUCAGGCCAGCCUGGGCUAAGUGAGAUCCAGUCUCAGAGCGGAAAGAAAAGGAAUAACCUGAUACAGGAAACAAUAUUCCAGGUGACUGCUCCGCAGACUGCACACUAAUAAAGGGAGUGACCUCUCUCGAGGUACUCUGUGGUGCUGAUCAAGACUUCAGGCCCCGCGGAGCCUGUACUGUCAUUUGGCCCCCAUGUAAAAUAACUCUCAUGAUUAGACAUGUUAACAUUUUUUUUUCAUUGAGACAGGGCCUGUCUACAUAGCGCUGACUGUCCUGGAACUCAGAUCCACCUGCCUCUGCCUCCCUGUAGGGGAUAAAGGCUUGCACCACCAUGCCUAGCCCAAAGUUUUAUUUUUAUGUGGGUGAAGAUCCAGGACAGCCAGGGCUACAGAUGAGAGGGGUCGGGGUGUGUAUGUGUGAGGAGAAUCGGAAGUCCUGAGUUAGUCUCGGCUAUGAAGUUUUAGUCCAUCCUGGGACACAAGAGCUUGUCUUAAACUUGAAAACAAGAACAAUGAAGCAGACGUGGUGGUACAUAAAUGUAAUCCCAGCUUUGGGAGUGAAGAAACAAGCCUGGGAUAUACAGUGAGAAGCUGUCUCACCCACAACAGUGAUUAAGUGCUGAAGCGAGAGCUUGCUGGUGGAGCAGUUGUCUGCACCGCUCAGGUUCUGGGUUCAGUCUCCGUCAUCAUCAAAAAGGAAUCAUUUUCUUUUUGAGGCAAGGUGUUUUAUACUGAUCUUAAUAGAUAUGUAGUCCAGUGUGACUUUUUUUGUUGUUUUGUUUUUCCCAAUGGUCUCACCAUGCUGCUCUGGCUGGCCCACUCUGCCCCUGUUACCCUGUGUUCUAAGGUGCUUGAGGUUGAACCCAGAGCUUUCUGCAUGCCAGGCAAGCUCUCUACCUCAUAGUGCUAAAAAGAAAGAAGUGUCACUAAUCACACAGCACUGUAUCAUUUCAGAAACUCGAAUGCUUGUGGCUUCACCCCGUACAACUAGAUUUUUCUCUUUGUUUUAUUUAUUUUGAGACAGGGUUUCUGUCCAUAGACUUAGCUGUUGCCUUUUUUCUCUUUAGCUAUUUUAUCGAGUUCUUAUACUUUUAUCUCCCUUCCAACCCUUAUCCACCUUUAAUCCCUUCCUGCCCCCAGCACUAGGCAGGAGAGAAAGAUUACAGGGAAAAGAGAACAGAGACCUCCACAGGCUACGUCCUGUUGGUUGGGGUUGUGGUGUUUCGAGGGGUGAGUCAGCAACCCAGCAAUGGCAAGGGGAGCAACAACUGCUGCUGGCCUUCUUGGGGCUCUUGUUUUUAUGCCCUCUGCAGAGCCUCCACAACUAAACUAACUGCAGAUGGCAAGAUCACGCCCCUCUUGGAGCACCAGACAGUCAUAGCGGCUGUGGGCAAACUGAAGCUGUCCUAUAUCCCACACCUGGGCUUAAAACAAAAACACAUAACAUGGUGGGUCUUUAAGGAAACCAAAACUCUCAGGAUAUCUUGGGCUCUCUCUGUAGACCAGGCUGGCCUCAAACUCCCUCUGUAGACCAGACUUACCUCAAACUUAAGAGACCCACUUCCUCUGCCUCCUGAGUGCUGAGAUUAAGGGCGUGGGCCACCACUACCAGUUUACAACUAGUUUUAAAAACACUGGCUAAUGUGUGGAGAUGGACAAUAGCUUAGGUAGAGAGAAAGUUUAUUUUCUAAGUUGUCAGAAAAAAAAUUGUUAGCAAAAAUAAGUGUGCUGAUUGGGUUGGUUUGGUUUUUUGUUUUUUUUUUCCUCGAAUGUACUAUAUCUCAGCCAUAGUUUCCCCCUCCUCUUCCCGCAGUCCUCCCACAUCCUCCCCUCAGAAAAGAGCAGUCCUCCCAGGAACAUCAACAAAAUAAUAAGCUACACAGUAGGCCUAGGGCCUCCUGUCACAUCAAGGCUGCACGAGAGGCCACUCCGUAAGGGGAAGGUUCCCAUAAGCAGGCAAAAGAACCAGAACCUGGGACAGCCCCCACCCCCACUGUUAGGAUUCCCACUAAACCACCAAGCUACUCGGCCAUAGCAUACUCGUAAUUAGCUCAGGCUAGUUUAUGUCAACUUGACGUGAGCCAGAGUUAUGAGAAAAUGCCUUCGCAAGGGGUCAUGGACAGCAGCUGUGUGGCAGGCCUGAAGUCCCUGAAAAGAGCCCAGGAGAGGCUAGAGGUGAAAGUACAGCCCAGAUGCAGUAGAAGACUCCAGCAUUUUGGAGAUGCCAGAACCAGGGGACAACCACCAAGAACAUCGGAAGGCGUGGAGGGGAGCCAGCCUGAUCCUGGAAGGCAAACUGUGCUGCAGAGGGCGGAGCCAGAGAAGUGACCCAGGCCCUGAGAGAACCCCAGACACUGGGUGCCGAGUUACACUGUUGGAACUUGGUUUUGCUUUGUUCAGACUGCAACUGUGGGCUGGUUCUUCUCUGAGGCUGGGCAUGGUGGCUCUUGCUUGUAAUUCCAGCUCUCCAAAAGGAAGCUGCAGCAGGAUUGCCUUGAACUUGAGGCUAGCCUGGGCUACAUACAGCGUGUGACUAUCUUAAAGACAAAAACAAAGCAAGCCAGUUGUAGUACCACAAAGCUAUGAUCCUGGCACUUGGAAGGAAGAUAUGAAGCUCAAGGUCAUCCCCAGCUACACAUGGAGUUAAAGAUUUAUUUAUUUUACGUAUAUAUGAUGCUGUCUUCAGACACACCAGAAGAGGGCAUUGGGUCCAUUACAGAUGGUUGUGAGCCACCAUGUGGUUGCUGGGAAUUGAACUCAGGACCUCUGGAAGAGCAGCCAGUGCUCUUAACCACUGAGCCACUUCUCCAGCCCCAGGACCAAUUUCUAACAACUUGGAGGUUUCUAUAGAAUCCAAGUGUUCCAAGUGUUCCCAGUUCAUACAGCGCACGGGACUGAUGCAACCAUCAUGGGGCGAAGCGCGCACAUAUGAGAAGCUGGACACAGCCAGAUUGUUGCUCAUCUCGUACCCGCAGUCCAAGAGCCUCAGUCUGAGGAGCUGGCCCGUCGUCUACCUUCACACCCCUAUGUUCAUUCUGACAGCUGAGAAGAUGACCAUGUAACCACAGAAGAUCUUCCGCCCCAUUCAACAACAUGCAGACUUAGAGCGAGGUAGAGAUUAGCGCGGACCCAGUGGCACUGUUUUCUGUGUAUUUUUUUAUUAUGUAAAAAAAAAAAAAAAAAAAGGCUUUCCGGAAGCUGUAUUUGGCAUGAGCUACGCCACUGCUAGGGCUGCCAGCGGCCAGGCACAGGUGCGGUGCGUGAGGCCCUGAGGAGUGGGAAGGAGGAGGUGCAGGCAGGAAAUAACCAGCUCAGGCCCCGCCCUAGGAGCCCGCAGCGCAAGGAAGGCCGUGCAGUAGUGGGGACAAUGUGAUCCUCUUUGGUCAGGCGAAGACCCUUUAUAUGGGCCCAGAAGGCAAAAGGGCACAGGCUCAGCCCUGGAGCCCCAGCUGUGAAGGCUCAUUACACAGGGGCAUGAGGCAAGGCGAGAAGUCAGCAGUGCCAGGCUGUCACAGUCCAGCUCUUAGGAACCGCCCUUGUCUCUGUCAUCUAUCAGGUCGUACCUAGGGAAGCAAGGACAGAGCUCAGGCGGAAUGAAGAAGGCUCGUAUGUCAGUUUUGGUAUAGAGCCCAGGCUGAUCUUGAACUCUCAAUUCUCCAGCUUCCCUCAGGCUAGAACCACAGUCAUAAGCCACCAUGCCCAGCUGGGUUCUCUCCUACGUGAAAAACAUGCCAAGGGGUCCUGUGGUUCUCACUUUCAUUACAUCCUGUGAUUGGGAUUUCUCCCCUGGCAUAGCCAGCCCCACCUACUCCUUUGCAGACACUCACCACUGGGCUGCACCCUGGGAAAGGUCUAUCUCUGCUAGAUCCAGCUGCACCUGGGUCAGAAGGUGACGAGGCAAGAUGUCAUUCUGGUACUUUUUAAAGAACUCUUUAUCAACAUACUUUAUCGUUUUGAACCCCUAUGUGAUGCAGUCACGCCUCGGGUGAAUCCCUAUGUGAUACGGUCACGGCCCGGGUGAACCCCUGUGUGAGGAUAUGGUCACAGCCCAGGUAAACCCCUGUGUGAGGAUACGGUCACGGCCCGGGUGAACCCCUGUGUGAGGAUAUGGUCACAGCCCAGGUAAACCCCUGUGUGAGGAUACGGUCACGGCCCGGGUGAACCCCUGUGUGAGGAUACGGUCACGGCCCGGGUGAACCCCUGUGUGAGGAUAUGGUCACAGCCCAGGUAAACCCCUGUGUGAGGAUACGGUCACGGCCCGGGUGAACCCCUGUGUGAGGAUACGGUCACGGCCCAGGUAAACCCCUGUGUGAGGAUAUGAUCACACCCCAGAUGGCCCCAGAGCUUUAGUCCAUGCCCGCUCACCUUCCCCAGAAGCUCACGCUCUCUUGACAUGAAGGAGGAGUUUGACUUCACAGAGACAUCGAGCUUCCUCCUAAGAGUCCCAUCCAGGGGCAGGUCCCAUUCAAACCUGGGGAAGACACUAGAUCUUAGCGAUACAGGCCUCCCCAGCCCCCGCUGACGCACCAUGCCCAUUUACUGACCGCUCAUUGAACUCAGGAUUGAGGGUCCUCUUCUUCUGUGAGGUCUUCCUCUUGGUGCCUCGGUUCUUGUCUGGGAGCAGCAACACUGACACAUAGGGGUCUGGGAGAUCACGUCCAUUUUGUCGAAGGGCCCUGCACCAAGGA